GCCAAAUCCGCGGCUUCUCCGCCGAGGGCUACAUCAACGACAAGAACGAUCGCCGCUUCAACGACUGCCUCCACUACUGCAUUGUCGCCGGCAAAAAGGCCCUCGAAAAUGCCGACCUCACCCCAAACAAGCACUCCAAGGAUUGAAGUUUUGCUGCUCUGGUACGGCGUUUGUUGAGAAUUUUAUUUUAUGCAGACAUGGAAAGGGGGAGAGGAUGCCAACCAUACCUAUUUUAACAGCAAGGUAUUCAAGCUUUUGCCAACCAUACCUAUUUUUAUUUGGACUGAAAUUGGUCCUAAAAGUAUUCCUAUUGAAGUUUACUGGUGCCAGCUUUGCAAGUUUUGAAAGCUGGAAGCUUUUGUUUGAACGUUAGAUUAUUAAAUACGCUAACGCUAUUUGUUUUGGGUUAGGCUAUGCUAUGUUAUGAGUUUAAUGCAGAGGCAAAUCAUGAUUUGUGUCCCAAGUGUAUAUAUGCGUAUGUCCCAUCGGUGAUACUGAUAAGUAUAACUCUUUCUGCUUGCUUUGUCUCUCUCUCUCUCUCUUGUUGCUAUAAGUUGAUUUCUACUUUUUUGGUGGUUAAUUUGCUAUGCAAUUGUUAUUUUGCUAUGCAGUUGUUUCCAAAAUUAAUGUUCUUGACAUUUAAAUUUUGUUUAGCCUUUCUUUCUUGUUACAUUCAAAUACUUUUUUAGCUUUGAUCUUCACUAAGGAAUUUUUCGUAUGAACUAUAUAUAUAUAUAUAGAGGCUGAUUAGAUCUGGAAGUUUUUGUUACUGUUGAGUCUUCAGCUGUUCAUAAUUAUUCUUAGUUUCUUUUGAUGAAUUAUAUGCGAAGCAUGACGUGAAUUCUUAGUACCCACGAACAAUAACUAGUCCAAACUCUAAUUACUUAAAAAGAGGUUGAUUGACCACACUGAAACACCUCUUGAAAUUAAAUGGAAUUGUUUUUAAUUAUUAAUUAAAUUAUGUUAUUAGCAUGUGACUGUUUUGACUGUUAAUUGAGUAAGUUCGUUAAUGAAACUACUUAGUUGAUUCAGUUAAUGAUAAAAAAAAACCUCAUAUUAAUAAUAUUUAAAACAAUCCAAUUUUGAUAUUUAAUUUUUAAAAGUGCUUUAAUUUGAAAAAGAAAAAAGCUCUUAAUAAGAUAGAGAAAGAAAAAAAAAAUAGAUCCAACAUUAAGGAACCCAAAUAGAGACGAGGUCAAUUAGACUAUAGCAUUUGCAAGGAAUAUAAAUAAAUAAGAUAGCUACAUAAUAAGAUGAAAAUAGAUGCCCACAAAAUGGAAUAUAUACACAUUUUUUUUCAAUAUCCCAAAAAUAGAGAUAAACCAAAAACAAGCGGCCAAUUUUAGCCAUAAAUAAAAUCGUAACAUAACACAAUAUAUCUUAUGAAAGUAGUAUAAUUGUUGGAUGCUCGAGCUGUGGCAUUCAUAAUUAUAUAAAAAGGGAUUCUCAAGUUUAUUAUUUUGGGGGGCUAUUUCUUGGGGAAAGUUUAUUCCAGAAAUUCCCAAGUUCAAAGAAAAAAGAGACGACCAAGUAACGAUAUAAGAAAAUUUUAUGCUUAAGAAAAUUUUACUUGUAUUAUUGGCCCACCCAUACUGGUUAUAUUCUCAGUCAUUAAAUGUUUAUUAUUGUCUUAUAAUUUUGUAAUUGCUUUAUUUUAGAGCGUCCUCCAUAUGAAGAACCCCUGGAUUGGCCAACUCGGAAAAGAGUAGCUUUGGGAUCUGCAAUGGGUCUUUCAUAUUUGCAUGAUCAUUGUGACCCAAAGAUUAUUCAUCGUGAUGUGAAGGCUGCCAACAUAUUGCUGGAUGAAGAGUUUGAGGCUGUUGUUGGGGACUUUGGAUUGGCCAAACUUAUGGAUUACAAGGACACGGUAUGGGGACUUUUUUGAUGGAAAAACUGCCAGCUUGUGUGUGCGUCGUGCUGUUUAUUAUGAUCCUGUGACAGGAAAGGAAGAUCCUUCCAAGAAUGGCAUUUGUAGCAAUUUUUUGUGUAACUCAAAGCCAUGAAACAAAAUUCAGAUCACAGGUAAGAGCUAGCUCUUUUUACUCCACCGAAGAUUGACAUAAUUUCUGAUAUCUUUUAUAACUUCUCAAAAUUUGUAUUCCAACAAAGUGAUGCCUUGGUGAACCUUGCUCAGUUGGGAGAAUGUCUUGCUCAGUUGUUUCUUGUUAUUCCUGUUGCCAUAGGUGUGUUCUAUGUACUUCACUAGAGGGUGGGUUUGCAAAGUAAUACUUGAAUGUGCCUUGCUCUAGGAACUUCUUUACUAUUUGAAAUCUGCAUUGUUGAUUGCUAUUUAUUUGCUGGUUAAUCAAUUGGAAUUUAUACUAUGCAUGGUGUGCUCUGCAUGUGAAAGUAGCAACUUACUUAAAUAAUAGAUGAGGCAAUUGAGGGUACAAAAAAUAUUUUUUAAAAAAAUAAUACAUUUUAAGACAGUUGUCUUUAUAACCGUCUUAGAAUGUAACACAUUUUACAUCGGUCGUGUGAAUAGGACCGACGUAGAAUAUAUUACAUUCUAAAAUGGUCAUAGAGACAACCGUCUUAGAAAGUUCACACAUUCUAAGACGGUUGUUAAAAACCAUCGUCGUAAACAUGUUCUUUUCUAUGAUAUCUGUUACGACAACAGUUAAUAAUCGAUGUUGUAUGUAUCAAAUAACUGAUGUACAAUAACGUUUAUGCAGUAGUGGUUGUGUUUGAAGAUUGAGGGCUAUAUAUCUUUUGGGUCGAAUUAUAAUUCGAUCCUCAUAACUUAGCAUUGAUGCAUGUUGUGCUUGAGGUUCAAGGACUAUUUAUCCUUCCGAUCGGAUCACAAUUUGAUCUCACAAUUUAGCCUCUACGCACCUUAUGCUUAAGACUUGAAGGUUGUGUAUCCUUCGGAUUGAAUUAUGCGACCAUGCAUUUCCUUGGUUAGACUUUAUUUGAUCUGUUUGUUUUAGUAUAUAAGUGUUUGAUCCAUUUAGUCUCGGAAUAAUAAAUGUGUCGUAAGACUAACAUUGGAGACAAUCAUGUAUCCAAAUCCUUCAUAUAUGAGAGAAUAUUUUGAUAUGUCA